UACGAAGGGGGCUAGCGUUGCUCGGAAUCACUGGGCGUAAAGCGCACGUAGGCGGAUCGUUAAGUCAGGGGUGAAAUCCUGGAGCUCAACUCCAGAACUGCCUUUGAUACUGGCGAUCUUGAGUUCGGGAGAGGUGAGUGGAACUGCGAGUGUAGAGGUGAAAUUCGUAGAUAUUGGGAAGAACACCGGUGGCGAAGGCGGCUAUCUGGACUGUGAUUGACGCUGAGGCGCGAAAGCGUGGGGAGCAAACAGG
rnacentral:rRNA from 1 species